rnacentral:tRNA from 1 species
GCGGAUGUGGCGAAACUGGUAGACGCGCUGGAUUUAGGUUCCAGUGGGGCAACCCGUGUAGGUUCAAGUCCUAUCAUCCGCACCA